CCAUUUCCCUCUCCUCGACCAUUCCUCUCUUGGCGAUUCAAUUUUAAUAUUGAAGAAUCUUUUUCAUGUUAUCAUUAUGAAGAAUCUUUUUCGUUUAAGUUAGCAUUACCUAACAAUUGACCAUGGAAUAGAUUAUAUUUACGAAAAUUCACCAUGAUGGAGUCUUAUCUCAGAUUCCUUUUGUCCUUACUUAUGUUGGAAACUGUGUGCCAGCCCUCAGGUAUAUAGAUAAGAACCACUUUUCCAUAUUGAAACUAUUAUAUUAUACUAAAGAAAUGGGGUAUGCAACUGUUGGAGGUUUUUAUUACCAAGAUUUAGUGACUAAAACAUUCGACCUAAUUAAAUCUGACCAACAUCUACUAGACCUAAUUAAAGACUUAGAACAUGAGGACACUUUUGAAGUAUUUGUUUAUCAUGUAUUGGAUGAACCAUUAGUUGAUACCGAGGGACCAACUGAUUAUCUAACUAAUGAUAGUAUUGGUAUUGGUGAGAGUGUUAAUCUAGGUGGAGAGUAUGAGGUUAAUAACAUAGUUGAAGAGAAUGAUAUUGAUUCUAUUAACCUACAAGAUGUUGAUAUAGAUGAUGAGUUAUCAGAUUUCUUGACUAGCGAUUCAGAUCUAGGAAAUAUACCUUUAGAAGAUGGCUUAGAUGUUGAUGAGGAGUUGAGAGCUUUUAGACAAAAAAAUAAAAAAUAAAAAAUAAAAAAAUAAAAAAAGGUUGUUGAACCUGAAGAAAUAUCGGUUGGAGAGGCUGGUGGUGUAGAUAGGGACUUCGAUGAUAUUGAAAAAAAUAAAACUAACAAAUAUGCAGAAAAAUUAGGUGGAGAUGAGGAAUAUCUUGAUAACUCUGACUGCUGAAGUGAUAAUAGUGAGAAACAACUUGAUGUGGAUACUGUUAGGGGAGUAGAUGUACCUUCUAGAAGGAGAAGCAAAAAAGUAAGAUAUGAUGAAGAUUGUGAGGUGUCAAUAUUUAAGCUUGGAAUGAUCUUUGAGGGUGCAAAUCAAUUUAAGAAGACAGUGUCAAAUUAUAUUGUAGAGUUCAGGAGGCAGUCAAAGUUAAGAGCUAAUGAAAGACAUGAAAUGAGCAUAAAGUGCAAAAAUUACAAGUAUAAGUCGAUGUUAUAUGCUUUCACUGACAGAGAUUCUGGUGAUUUCAUUGUAAAGAACUAUCAUCCUGUUCACAAGUGUAUUUCAUUAAACAAGAACAAAUUGUUUAAUUUAAAGUUGAUAGCUAUAAAGUUUAAGGGCAUAAUUGUAUCUCAACUAGGGCUGUUCAAAACCAUCCGCUACCGAUAACCCAAUCACAAAAUUAGCUUAUUAGCUUAUUGGUAUUGGGUUAUCGCAUUAGCGGGUGGGAAAUAGAUUUAAAUUUUAUAAUUAACGGCUUAUCGAUGUGGGGGACAGAUUACUCAAUUUUGUUAUUGGGUAAACCGUUAAUCCGUUAAGAAUUUAUUAUAUUUUAAUAUAUUUUAUCCCUAAACAUAUAAAAUAUGUAUAAUAUUGAUAAUUAUAAUUUGUAAACCUAAAAUAAGGGCCAAGCCUAUUUAAUUAAACAGGCCAAAUCCAUUUAAUUAAAUAGACCAAGCCCAUUUAAAGUAGUAGCCCUACUUCUAGUCUUCUACAGAGUUCUACACUACUUGAGCACUUCACAAUUGGCUUUAGGUUUAGCUACUUCCGCCUCUGUCUCAGUCUCUCUCUCAGACUCUCAUCUCUUAUUCUCUCUUGCGCAGUUACGACUUGCGUCGCCUUGUCUUCUCCUCCACCAGACCUCCCCUCCUUUCCCUUAGGCCGCCGAACCUCCGCCUCUAUUCUCUUUUCAAAAGCUGAGUAUGAACACUAUAGAGGAAGAGAAGGGAUAACAGCAGUUCAAAAUUUUGACAUGAAAAGGGGUUUCGAAGAUUCACUGAUAUGAUAUCAGUGGUGGUUAGGUUUUAACUGAUCCAAAUUCAUAACUGAAUUAGGUUCUCUGCAAUACUUUCUUUUUACUGAAAACCCUAAUUCAGCCUGGUGAAAUUGGGGUUUCUUUAAUAUCUAAAAAGGUUCAAUGGGUGCUCAAGAGAAGUCUUCUAGCACCAACAACUCGAUGCAGAUUUAGCCAGCGCUGGAAAAUACCCUACGCCUACUGUAGUUGACAUAUAAAUAUAUAUUGGUGAGAACUAAUGCAGUUGCUACUUGCUACUCUUUUGUAAUAGAGAAUUGGAGAAGAAUGCGCUUCCACAAAAAAAGAAAGACGAGCAGAAAGCUGUUUGAGUUGAUUUUGAUCAGUAAUGGAGUUGCAGUUGCUUUUAUAUGUUAGGGAGAUAAACAAACAAAUUCACGCAAGGCAAAAAUUUUGAACUUGAGUGCAUGACCUCAUUGAAGGAACUUUUUUAAUUUGAAGCCCCCACAUUGUGUUGUACUAUUUGUUUAGCUGGUUCUAUUUGGAUUAUGUAUGAUUCAUCUCGCUUGAGUUAGCAUACUUUCCACUGGUUUACCGUGAUGGAUAAUUCUUAUUUGCAUGAUAUUGACAUUGAGUAGAUGCUGAAUACAUAAUGUAGUAGUUUUAUGACUUAAGUUAUCUUCAAUACAUUUCUAAUGAAAAUUCCCAGUAGAUAAUGAUCUUUUGCACCACUUCAGGAGCAAGAGUGCAUUAAUCUCUGUGUAGUGUUAAUUGUUAA